UACAGAGGUCUCAAGCGUUGUUCGGAUUCAUUGGGCGUAAAGGGCGCGUAGGUGGCCCAGUCAGUCUUUGGUGAAAGCGCGGGGCUCAACCCUGCGUCGGCCAGGGAUACUGCCGCGGCUCGAGCACUGUAGAGGCAGGCGGAAUUCCGGGUGUAGCGGUGGAAUGCGUAGAGAUCCGGAAGAACACCGGUGGCGAAGGCGGCUUGCCAGAACGCGCUCGGACGGUGAGGGAUGAAAGCUGGGGGAGCAAACCGG
rnacentral:rRNA from 1 species